rnacentral:rRNA from 1 species
UGAUUUCACACUGUCAAGAAAAGCCGCUAGCGAGACCGUAGGUGCCCGUACCGCAAACCGACACAGGUAGAUGAGGAGAGAAUCCUAAGGUGAGCGAGAGAACUAUUGUUAAGGAACUCGGCAAAAUUACCCCGUAACUUCGGGAGAAGGGGUGCCAUCGAAAGAUGGCCGCAGUGAAAAGGCCCAGGCGACUGUUUAGCAAAAACACAGGUCUCUGCUAAAGCGAAAGCUGAAGUAUAGGGGCUGACGCCUGCCCGGUGCUGGAAGGUUAAGGGGACUGCUUAGAGCAAUCGAAGGCAUGAACUUAAGCCCCAGUAAACGGCGGCCGUAACUAUAACGGUCCUAAGGUAGCGAAAUUCCUUGUCAGGUAAGUUCUGACCCGCACGAAAGGCGUAACGAUCUGGGCGCUGUCUCAACAAUAGACUCGGUGAAAUUGUAGUACCGGUAAAGAUGCCGGUUACCCGCAGCAGGACGGAAAGACCCCGUGGAGCUUUACUGCAGCUUGAUAUUGGAUUUCGGCAUUGCAUGUACAGGAUAGGUGGGAGACUGCGAACUCAGUACGCCAGUAUUGAGGGAGUCACCGUUGGGAUACCACCCUUGUAAUGUUGAGGUUCUAACUUUGUACCGUGACCCGGUAUGAGGACAGUGUCUGGCGGGCAGUUUGACUGGGGCGGUCGCCUCCUAAAGAGUAACGGAGGCGCCCAAAGGUUCCCUCAGUGCGGACGGAAAUCGCACGAAGAGUGUAAAGGCAGAAGGGAGCUUGACUGCGAGACAAACAGGUCGAGCAGGGACGAAAGUCGGGCUUAGUGAUCCGGUGGUUCCGAGUGGAAGGGCCAUCGCUCAACGGAUAAAAGCUACCCCGGGGAUAACAGGCUGAUACCCCCCAAGAGUCCACAUCGACGGGGGUGUUUGGCACCUCGAUGUCGGCUCGUCGCAUCCUGGGGCUGAAGUAGGUCCCAAGGGUUGGGCUGUUCGCCCAUUAAAGAGGUACGCGAGCUGGGUUCAGAACGUCGUGAGACAGUUCGGUCCCUAUCCGCUGUGGGCGUUGGAGAUUUGAGAGGAGCUGUUCUUAGUACGAGAGGACCGGGAUGGACAUACCUCUGGUGCACCAGUUGUUCUGCCAAGGGCAUAGCUGGGUAG